rnacentral:rRNA from 1 species
GACGAACGCUGGCGGCGUGCCUAAUACAUGCAAGUCGAGCGAAGUUUUUCUGGUGCUUGCACUAGAAAAACUUAGCGGCGAACGGGUGAGUAACACGUAAAGAACCUGCCUCAUAGACUGGGACAACUAUUGGAAACGAUAGCUAAUACCGGAUAACAGUAUUUCUCGCAUGAGAGAUAUUUAAAAGUUGGUUAUGCUAACACUAUGAGAUGGCUUUGCGGUGCAUUAGCUAGUUGGUGGGGUAAAGGCCCACCAAGGCGACGAUGCAUAGCCGACCUGAGAGGGGGAUCGGCCACACUGGGACUGAGACACGGCCCAGACUCCGACGGGAGGCAGCAGUAGGGAAUCUUCCGCAAUGGGCGAAACCCUGACGGAGCAACGCCGCGGGAGUGAAGAAGGAUUUCGGUUCGUAAAGCUCUGUUGUUAGGGAAGAAUGGAUAUGUAGUAACUAUACAUGUAAGAGACGGUACCUAACCAGAAAACCACGGCGAACUACGG